rnacentral:tRNA from 1 species
GGUCCACUAGCUCAGUGGUUAGAGCGCCGUCCUUAUACGGACAUUCACACAGAAAAAACUUGCCUGAAAAAAGGCCUGUGUGACUGCCUCAACUGCCAGCAGCAGUUGGCAAUACAGACCCGUUUUAUCACGGGCUGUGACGAGCUCAGCUCGUCUGCCUAAGAGAGGCGGUGGUCCCGGGUUCGAGUCCCGGGUGGACCA